rnacentral:lncRNA from 1 species
AACGGUUUUAUUAUUUUAUAUUUAAAUAUUUAUAAAAUGUUCAACUUUAUAUAUUAUCUGUAUAGUCCGUGAUACAAUGUGACUGGUAAGAGAUAAUCUGUUAGUGAUAUCACAGAAUAACCUUCUACAUUUAACAUGCUCAAUUUUCUUAUGGGGUAUAGAUUUGCCAAACCUGCUGAGAUAUCAGUAUAGACUGUAUAGCAUGUGACGGUAAAAUAAAUAUUCUCUCCUCUAUGGUUACUCUAUGCUUAUCCCAUGAAUACAAAUAAUUAUCCCGUAAAAAAUACGUAAAGCCAUACUUCAACCGUUUCCUGUGCAAGUAUGAAAAAAGAUUGAGCUUAAAGGCAUGGUGUAUUUUUUGACAGUAUUGUCUGCGUCUGAAUAUAGAAAGGUAAUUUGAAUACUUAAUAUUAUUUAAUGGGAAGGUUUGGUCAUUACUCAUUUUUGGAUUCUUGGGAAAUUUCUUAUAUAAAACUGUUCGCGCCAAGUGCAGCGCGAUAGUUUGGCAAGACUGCAUAUGUUGUCCCACUGUCAGCAAUAUUUCAGCUUGCGAUAGUGUUUCUCUUAUCAAGCUGAUAGUGGACGGCCUGUGACUGCGUCAGUCCGUUAUUAUUUUCUAAAUUUGUUAUAUUCGUAGUUUUUAUUUUAUUAUGGUUUUGUCCGCUGAUUUUCUAUUUUUAUUGUUUAAUUCUUUCUUUAUAAUCUCUGUUGUGCGUCAGUGUCAUCAGUUAUUGUGUUAAAUUUAUUAUUUUUUUUGUAUCUCGACGACACUGUCCACAGCAAAGGUUAUAAAAGGCUGGACGCACCAGCUCCGAUUGCCAUUUUUUUUUGUUAUUCAUUAUUCCUCGGUCCAUAGACAUUUUUGUUUCGUUUUUUCUAUGCAUUAGUGAAAGCACAUGUGCCAAGUCGGUUCUUUCACUUCGGUUUUUUAUUGAAUUCAAGUUUUAUUGUUGGUAACGUAUUGUUCCUAAAAGGCAUUAUAUGCACAAUUACUAUAUUAUACUUUUCUCAGCAGGGUGGUCAUAUUUGGUCUACAUUUUGUUUGUGGUGCUUGUCCUGUGUUAUAUUCGUAAGUGGUUACUUCAAAGCUGUCGCGUGGGAUAAAAUCCACCGCCUAAGGUAACCACCUAUGUUGUGGCUGUUGAACACAACCCAGGUUGUCAAUGAAAGACAUGUGUGCUAAAGUUUCAAAAGUAACAUAUAUACGAGCCGAUGGCAAAGAUGAUACUAUUCACUUUUUAAUUGAUGUCACAAGGACUCCAUCGCUGGCCUUUGUAAAAACAAGCAAAGAUGCUGUCAUUCAAGCAAAAUAUACUGGUUUUUUAUAUGACAGUAAAAUAGAAUUUACAAAGCUCCCCCUGUACACUUUUUCAACAGUAUGCAAUAAAAAUGCAUCAUACAGAGAAAAUAUCAGCGAACGCCUGAGAUCAGAAGAUUUUGAUGUCGAGGUACCUAUUUAAUUCGUUGACAUUUAGACAAAACGAUGGGAUUUAACGAUAAAGACGCCUUUUGAAGAUAAGUCAAAGGAACUUUGGAUCAUUUCACACUAAAAGGUCGCUAACAUCGAGAAUGUACCAAUAGAAGACAGAUGGAAGUUCAGUGAAGCUACUGUCAGAUUAUACAUGUGUGACGAAUGAAAAGACCAAAC